rnacentral:pre_miRNA from 1 species
AAUAAAUCAAUUUUUCAUUUUUUAUCUUCAAUUUUUGACUCUUCAUUUUAUUUAACAUUUUUUGUGAUUGAUAUUUUUGUUUUUAUUAGAUAAUAAAUUAUGAAUAGUACUUUACGUGUGACUAAUUUUUUUAAUUUUCUGAAAAUUUUUUAAAUAAGACGAAUGAUCAAACGUUGGACACGGAAACCGAAGAAUUCAUUUUUU